rnacentral:rRNA from 1 species
UGUCAUACUUCCAAGAAAAGCUUGCACUGUCAUAAGUAAAAAAUGCCUGUACCAUAACCGACACAGGUGGGUAGGUAGAGUAUACUAAGGGGCGCGAGAUAACUCUCUCUAAGGAACUCGGCAAAAUAACUCCGUAACUUCGGGAGAAGGAGUACCUUAUUCUAUAAGGUUGCAAUAACAAGAUCCAAGCAACUGUUUAUCAAAAACACAGGUCUCCGCUAAGUCGUAAGACGAUGUAUGGGGGCUGACGCCUGCCCAGUGCCAGAAGGUUAAAGAAGUCGGUUAGCAUUAGCGAAGCUGGUAACUGAAGCCCUGGUGAACGGCGGCCGUAACUAUAACGGUCCUAAGGUAGCGAAAUUCCUUGUCGGGUAAGUUCCGACCCGCACGAAAGGCGUAAUGAUUUGGAUACUGUCUCGGAGAGGGGCUCGGUGAAAUAGACUUGUCUGUGAAGAUGCGGACUACCUGCACCAGGACAGAAAGACCCUAUGAAGCUUUACUGUAACUUGAAAUUGAAAUUGGACUUUAUUCGCGCAGUAUAGGUGGGAGGUGUUGAUUAUAAUCUUGCGGGAUUAUUGGAGCCAUCAGUGAGAUACCACUCUUGUAAUGUUAGAUUUCUAACUUUGAAUCAUUAUCUGGUCAAAGGACAGUUUCAGGCGGGCAGUUUGACUGGGGCGGUCGCCUCCCAAACGGUAACGGAGGCGUACAAAGGUUUCCUCUGAACGGGUAGAAAUCGUAUCUAGAGUGUAAAGGCAUAAGGAAGCUUGACUGUGAGACCUACAAGUCGAACAGGGACGAAAGUCGGUCUUAGUGAUCUGACGGUACUGAGUGGAAAGGCCGUCACUCAACGGAUAAAAGUUACUCUAAGGAUAACAGGCUGAUCUCCCCCAAGAGUUCACAUCGACGGGGAGGUUUGGCACCUCGAUGUCGGCUCAUCGCAUCCUGGGGCGGUAGUACGUCCCAAGGGUUGGGCUGUUCGCCCAUGAAAGCGGUACGCGAGCUGGGUUCAGAACGUCGUGAGACAGUUCGGUCCAUAUCCGGUGUAGGCGUUAGAAUAUUGAGAGGAGCCUUCUUUAGUACGAGAGGACCGAGAAGGACAUACCUCUGGUGUACCAGUUAUCGUGCCAACGGUAAACGCUGGGUAGCUAUGUAUGGAGUGGAUAACCGCUGAAAGCAUCUAAGUGGGAAGCCCACCUCAAGAUAAGUAUUCUC